rnacentral:rRNA from 1 species
CCUACGGGAGGCAGCAGUGGGGAAUAUUGCACAAUGGGGGCAACCCUGAUGCAGCAACGCCGCGUGAAGGAAGACGGUUCUCGGAUUGUAAACUUCUGUUUUUAGUGAAGAAUAAUGACGGUCGCUUAGGAGCAAGCAACGGCUAACUAGGUGCCAGCAGCCGCGGUACUACGUAGGGGGCAAGCGUUGUCCGGAAUUACUGGGUGUAAAGGGAGCGCAGGCGGGAAGACAAGUCAGCUGUGAAAGCUACGGGCUUAACUUGUAGACUGCAGUUGAAACUGGUUUUCUUGAGUGAAGUAGAGGUUGGCGGAAUUCGGGGUGUAGCGGUGAAAUGCGUAGAUAUUCGGAGGAACUCCGGUGGCGAAGGCGGCCAACUGGGCUUUAACUGACGCUGAGGCUCGAAAGUGUGGGGAGCAAACAGGAUUAGAUACCCGGGUAGUC